AGAGCGAACGCUGGCGGCAGGCUUAACACAUGCAAGUCGAGCGGGCGUAGCAAUACGUCAGCGGCAGACGGGUGAGUAACGCGUGGGAACAUACCUUUUGGUUCGGAACAACACAGGGAAACUUGUGCUAAUACCGGAUAAGCCCUUACGGGGAAAGAUUUAUCGCCGAAAGAUUGGCCCGCGUCUGAUUAGCUAGUUGGCGGGGUAAUGGCCCACCAAGGCAGUGAUCAGUAGCCGGCCUGAGAGGGCGCGACGGACCGACGACUGGAACGUGAAACACGGUCCAGACUCCUACGGGAGGCAGCAGUGGGGAAUUUGCGCAAUGGGGGAAACCCUGACGCAGCAACGCCGCGUGGAGGAUGAAGCCCCUUGGGGUGUAAACUCCUUUCGAUCGGGACGAUUAUGACGGUACCGGAUGAAGAAGCACGGCUAACUCUGUGCCAGCAGCCGC
rnacentral:rRNA from 1 species